rnacentral:rRNA from 1 species
UACGUAGGGCGCGAGCGUUGUCCGGAUUUAUUGGGCGUAAAGAGCUCGUAGGCGGCUUGUUGCGUCAGCUGUGAAAACCCGCAGCUCAACUGUGGGCUUGCAGCUGAUACGGGCAGGCUUGAGUUCGGUAGGGGAGACUGGAAUUCCUGGUGUAGCGGUGAAAUGCGCAGAUAUCAGGAGGAACACCGGUGGCGAAGGCGGAUCUCUGGGCCAUUACUGACGCUGAGGAGCGAAAGCGUGGGGAGCGAACAGG